rnacentral:rRNA from 1 species
AGUGGGUAGUCCGCACGAGCGCACCUUACUUUUAGUUGCCAUCAUUUAGUUGGGCACUCUGAAAGAAUUGCCAGUGAUAAGCUGGAGGAAGGUGGGGAUGACGUCAAGUCCUCAUGGCCCUUACGUGUUGGGCUACACACGUGCUACAAUGGUAUCUACAACAGGAAGCAAAACAGCGAUGUUAAGCAAAUCCCGAAAAGAUACCUCAGUUCGGAUUGCACUCUGCAACUCGAGUGCAUGAAGCUGGAAUUACUAGUAAUCGUGGAUCAGCGUGCCACGGUGAAUACGUUCCCGGGUCUUGUACACACCGCCCGUCACACCAUGGGAGUUGGUUCUACCUUAAGGCAAAGCUUAAAACCUUUGACCACGGUAUAGUCAGCGACUGGGGUGAAGUCGUAACAAGGUAGCCGUAGGGGAACCUGCGGCUGGAUUACCUCCUUUCU